rnacentral:tRNA from 1 species
GGCCUGAUGGUCUAGUGGUAUGAUUCCUGCUUUGGGUUGUCAUAAUCUAUUCUGCAGGAGGCCCCGGGUGUAAGUUCACCCAAAAGUUUCGAUCUCGUACACAAUUUCUAAUCAGCGUACAGUCGAAUCCCGGUCAGGCCC